rnacentral:rRNA from 1 species
GACGAACGCUGGCGGCGUGCUUAACACAUGCAAGUCGAACGGAAAGGCCCCUUUGGGGGUACUCGAGUGGCGAACGGGUGAGUAACACGUGAGUAACCUGCCCUUGACUUCGGGAUAACUUCAGGAAACUGGGGCUAAUACCGGAUAGGAAUCCUUGCUGCAUGGUGGGGGUUGGAAAGCUUCGGCGGUUGUGGAUGGACUCGCGGCUUAUCAGCUUGUUGGUGGGGUAGUGGCUUACCGAGGCUUUGACGGGUAGCCGGCCUGAGAGGGCGACCGGCCACAUUGGGACUGAGAUACGGCCCAGACUCCUACGGGAGGCAGCAGUGGGGAAUAUUGCACAAUGGGCGGAAGCCGGAUGCAGCAACGCCGCGUGCGGGAUGACGGCCUUCCGGUUGUAAACCGCGUUCAGCAGGGGCGAAGCUUGUGGUGACGGUACCUGCAGAAGAAGCACCGGCUAACUACGUG